rnacentral:rRNA from 1 species
UACAGAGGGUGCAAGCGUUAAUCGGAAUUACUGGGCGUAAAGCGUGCGUAGACGGUCAUGUAAGUCGGGUGUGAAAGCCCCGGGCUCAACCUGGGAAUUGCAUUCGAGACUGCAUGGCUAGGGUGCGGAAGAGGGAAGCGGAAUUUCCGGUGUAGCGGUGAAAUGCGUAGAUAUCGGAAGGAACACCAGUGGCGGAAAGCGGCUUCCUGGUCCAGCACCGACGUCAGGCACGAAAGCGUGGGGAGCAAACAGG